rnacentral:rRNA from 1 species
CCUACGGGAGGCUGCAGUGAGGAAUCUUGCGCAAUGGAGGCAACUCUGACGCAGCCACGCCGCGUGAAGGAUGACCCCCCUCUGGGGCGUAAACUUCUUUUCUGCGGGAAGAACGCCGGACUAGGUCCGGGAUGACGGUACCGCAGGAAUAAGCACCGGCUAACUCCGUGCCAGCAGCCGCGGUAAUACGGAGGGUGCAAGCGUUGUCCGGAAUUAUUGGGUGUAAAGGGUGUGUAGGCGGGACCGUAAGUCAGGGGUGAAAGUCGGCGGCUCAACCGUUGGAUUGCCUUUGAUACUGCGGACCUUGAGUGCCGGAGAGGCUGCUAGAAUUCGUGGUGUAGCGGUGAAAUGCGUAGAUAUCACGAGGAAUACCAGAGGCGUAGGCGGGCAGCUGGACGGUGACUGACGCUGAGGCACGAAAGCGCGGGGAGCGAACAGGA